UACGUAGGUGGCAAGCGUUGUUCGGAAUUAUUGGGCGUAAAGGGCGCGUAGGCGGCUUGUUAAGUCGGCUGUGAAAGCCCGGGGCUCAACCCCGGAGGGUCAGCCGAUACUGGCAGGCUAGAGUACGGAAGAGGUAGCUGGAAUUCCCGGUGUAGCGGUGGAAUGCGUAGAGAUCGGGAAGAACAUCAGUGGCGAAGGCGGCCUUCUGGGCCAUUCUUGACACUGAGACGCGAAAGCGUGGGGAGCAAACAGG
rnacentral:rRNA from 1 species